rnacentral:rRNA from 1 species
GACGAACGCUGGCGGCGUGCCUAACACAUGCAAGUCGAGCGAAUGAAAUUCCUUCGGGAACGGAUUUAGCGGCGGACGGGUGAGUAACACGUGGGCAACCUGCCUCAUAGAGGGGAAUAGCCUUCCGAAAGGGAGAUUAAUACCGCAUAAGAUUGUAGUACCGCAUGGUACAGCAAUUAAAGGAGCAAUCCGCUAUGAGAUGGGCCCGCGGCGCAUUAGCUAGUUGGUGAGGUAACGGCUCACCAAGGCGACGAGGCGUAGCCGACCUGAGAGGGUGGUCGGCAACAUUGGGACUGGGACACGGCCCAGACGCCUACGGGAGGCAGCAGUGGGGAAUAUUGCACAAUGGGGGAAACCCUGAUGCAGCAACGCCGCGUGAGUGAUGACGGCCUUCGGGUUGUAAAGCUCUGUCUUCAGGGACGACAAUGACGGUACCUGAGGAGGAAGCCACGGCUAACUACGUGCCAGCCGCCGCGGUAACAC